UACAGAGGCCUCGAGCGUUAGUCGGAAUCACUGGGCUUAAAGCGUGUGUAGGCGGAUUGGUAAGUACCUUGUGAAAUCCCACAGCUUAACUGUGGAACUGCUCGGUAUACUGCUGAUCUUGAGCCACUCAGGGGCUACCGGAACAAAUGGUGGAGCGGUGAAAUGCGUAGAUAUCAUUUGGAACGCCAAUGGUGAAAACAGGUAGCUGGGGGUGUGCUGACGCUGAGACACGAAAGCCAGGGGAGCAAACGGG
rnacentral:rRNA from 1 species